rnacentral:misc_RNA from 1 species
ACCGGCAACAACCAACUUCAUUGAAACUGUCAGCAAACACAAACAACACAGUACAGAAUGGCUAGAAAUUUGAAAAUGGUUAUAACCAAAGAGAACACUAUAACAAAAGAGUUUCUUUCACUUUCUCUUUGUUGCUGUUCGUAUUGGCAUGAUGAUUCAGCCAUGGCUAUGCUUAUCUUUUAUCUUGUUACUGUUGUCCUCCUCUGUUCUUUCCCUUUCUUCUGUUAAUCAAUACCCCUCACAGAACACCGCAAUGUCUACUGAAACGAUCUCUUCCAUUCAAAGUCUUGCGAUGCCAGUGCCUCCUCCAGCACCGCCACCACCACUAUCUCCACCGUCAUCAAAUCGAAAAGUUGUGAUAGCUGUAAUUGCCACAGCUACAAUCGUUCUUAUCAUUGCUGCUAUCAUCUUCUUUUUCUGCCACAAAUAUGGUAGAUGCCGGCAGAAAAAUAAAGUUGACACAAGCUUCCAACAAGAAGGCAUCGUGACUUCUGAAGACUUCAGAAAAUUUGGUAAAAGAGUGAAAGGACUAAUUGUCGAUGAAAAUGGAAGAGAUGUAGUUUAUGUCAAAGAUUUAGAAGACAAAAUACUUAAAUCCAAGUUCUCAAAGAUUUCGUUCAAUCCUAGCUAUGAAGAAGAAGAAGAAGAAGAAAUGGUUUCUUGGAGGUUGGUGACACCAGCGCGAGUAACUGCCCUACCAACCACCUUUAACAUGCUGCCGCCUCCACCGCCCAUCCCUUUGCCUCCACCAAACAUGAAUGCUUUGCUGAUGUCUCUGUCUGUCUGUGUAAAGAGAAUCCAGCAGAGAUUAUACCCGUGUACCAAUUUAGAAUUCUU